AGUGAACGCUGGCGGUAGGCCUAACACAUGCAAGUCGAACGGCAGCACAGUAAGAGCUUGCUCUUACGGGUGGCGAGUGGCGGACGGGUGAGGAAUACAUCGGAAUCUACCUUUUCGUGGGGAAUAACGUAGGGAAACUUACGCUAAUACCGCAUACGACCUACGGGUGAAAGCAGGGGAUCUUCGGACCUUGCGCGAUUGAAUGAGCCGAUGUCGGAUUAGCUAGUUGGCGGGGUAAAGGCCCACCAAGGCGACGAACCGUAGCUGGUCUGAGAGGAUGAUCAGCCACACUGGAACUGAGACACGGUCCAGAUGCCUACGGGAGGCAGCAGAGGGGAAUAUUGGACAAUGGGCGCAAGCCUGAUCCAGCCAUACCGCGUGGGUGAAGAAGGCCUUCGGGUUGUAAAGCCCUUUUGUUGGGAAAGAAAAGCAGCAGGUUAAUACCCCGCUGUUCUGACGGUACCCAAAGAAUAAGCACCGGCUAACUUCGU
rnacentral:rRNA from 1 species